rnacentral:rRNA from 1 species
CUAAUCUGCGAUAAGCGCCGGUAAGGUGAUAUGAACCGUUAUAACCGGCGAUUUCCGAAUGGGGAAACCCAGUGUGAUUCGUCACACUAUCAUUAACUGAAUCCAUAGGUUAAUGAGGCGAACCGGGGGAACUGAAACAUCUAAGUACCCCGAGGAAAAGAAAUCAACCGAGAUUCCCCCAGUAGCGGCGAGCGAACGGGGAGGAGCCCAGAGCCUGAAUCAGCAUGUGUGUUAGUGGAAGCGUCUGGAAAGGCGCGCGAUACAGGGUGACAGCCCCGUACACAAAAGCGCAUGUGCUGUGAGCUCGAUGAGUAGGGCGGGACACGUGGUAUCCUGUCUGAAUAUGGGGGGACCAUCCUCCAAGGCUAAAUACUCCUGACUGACCGAUAGUGAACCAGUACCGUGAGGGAAAGGCGAAAAGAACCCCGGCGAGGGGAGUGAAAAAGAACCUGAAACCGUGUACGUACAAGCAGUGGGAGCACAGGUUUACCUGUGUGACUGCGUACCUUUUGUAUAAUGGGUCAGCGACUUAUAUUCUGUAGCAAG